rnacentral:rRNA from 1 species
UCAAGCUACUAAGAGCUGCUGACGGAUGCCUAGGCAUCAAAAGGCGAAGAAGGACGUGAUACCUGCGAUAAGCUUCGGCGAGCCGGACAAAAGGCUGUGACCCGGAGAUUUCCGAAUGGAGGAAUCCAGUAAGAUGAAAAUCUUAUUAUCUAUGUCUGAAUACAUAGGACAUAAGAGGCGAGACCCGCUGAAGUGACACAUCUCAGUAAGCGGAGGAGAAGAAAUCUAGAAGAGAUUCCCUAAGUAGCGGCGAGCGAAAAGGGAAGAGCCCAAACCGGAGAUUUUAUCUCCGGGGUUGUAGGACCUGUCAUAAAGUCAGGUGAUUCAUAGCAAAAUGGAAUGGAAAGUCCAGCGAAACAGGGUGAAAGCCCCGUAUGCGAAAUGAAGAUCAUAUGACGAGAUAGGCACCUGAGUAGGGCCGGACACGUGAAAUCCGGUCUGAAUCUAGGGGGACCACCCUCUAAGGCUAAAUACUCAUUGAUGACCGAUAGUGAACCAGUACCGCGAGGGAAAGGCGAAAAGAACCCCUGUAAGGGGAGUGAAAUAGAACCUGAAAUCAGCAGCUUACAAACGGUCGAAGGCCUAUACCACCAUAAGGUGGAAUGGCUGACGGCGUGCCUUUUGCAUGAUGAGCCAGCGAGUUAAGUUAUACGGCAAGGUUAAGAAACAAUCGUUUCGGAGCCGGAGCGAAAGCGAGUGUGAAUAGCGCGUUAAGUCGUAUGAUUUAGACACGAAACCAAGUGAUCUAUCCAUGGCCAGGAUGAAGCAAGGGUAACACCUUGUGGAGGUCCGAACCAGUGUCUGUUGAAAAAGCCUUGGAUGAGCUGUGGAUAGGGGUGAAAGGCUAAUCAAACUUGGAGAUAUCUUGUUCUCUCCGAAAUAACUUUAGGGUUAACCUCAGUCAAAUACAAUGUGGGGGUAGAGCACUGGAUCCACAAGGGAGACCACCGUCUUACCGAAGGGAACCAAACUCCGAAUACCAUAUUGAAGACUGGGAGAUAGACUGUGGGGGAUAAGCUUCAUAGUCAAAAGGGGAACAGCCCAGAUCGUCGAUUAAGGCCCCAAAUUCUAUGCUAAGUGAGUAAGGAAGUGAAGUUUCAAAGACAGUUGGGAUGUUGGCUUAGAGGCAGCCAUCAUUUAAAGAGUGCGUAACAGCUCACCAAUCGAGAGACUUUGCGCCGAUAAUUAACGGGACUGAAAGCAUAGAGCCGAAAUCACGGGUGUAUAUAGCAAUAUAUACGCGGUAGGAGAGCGUAGUAUAGGCGUAGAAGGCGUACCGCGAGGAGCGCUGGAGCGUAUACUAGUGAGAAUGCAUGGCAUGAGUAAACGAUAAAGGAAGUGAAAAUCUUCCUCGCCGAAAACCUAAGGUUUCCGGGGUAAAGCUCGUCUUAACCGGGUUAGCCGGACCCUAAGCUGAGGCUGAAAAGCGUAAGCGAUGGGAAGCAGGUUAAAUAUUCCUGCGCCACCGUAGAUUUAUACAAUGGGGUGACGAAGUAAGUUAAGCACGCGGACGAUUGGAAAUGUCCGUUUUAGCACGCGGCGGGCGGGGUCGGAAAAUCCACCCGCAAAAAGCCGGAUGCUAGACAAGGGGAAACGAAAGUGGAACUGAAGGUGUAGCGCGAGACUUCCAAGAAAUAACCUCUAGUUUUCGAAGGUGACCGUACCAAAACCGACACAGGUGGGUGUGAAGAAUAUUCUCAGGCGCGCGAGAGAACUCUCGUUAAGGAACUCUGCAAAUUAUCCCCGUAACUUCGGGAGAAGGGGAGCCGCAAUUUGUGACUAUCUUCGCGAUGGAAGCAAAAGGCGGCCGAAGAGAAAUGGCCCAGGCGACUGUUUAACAAAAACACAGCACUCUGCUAAGUCGUCUAAGACGAUGUAUAGGGUGUGAUGCCUGCCCAAUGCCAAAAGGUCAAAAGGAGAUGUCAGCCGCAAGGUGAAGCAUUGAAUUUAAGCCCUGGUGAAUGGCGGCCGUAACUAUAACGGUCCUAAGGUAGCGAAAUUCCUUGUCGGGUAAGUUCCGACCUGCACGAAUGGCCUAACGAUCUGGGCACUGUCUCAACGAGAGACUCGGUGAAAUUGUAGUAGCGGUGAAGAUGCCGUUUACCCGCAACAAGACGGAAAGACCCCGUGAACCUUUACUGUACUCUGAUAUCGGCUUCUGACUUUUCAUGUGUAGGAUAACCGGGAGACAUCGAAGAAAGCUCGUUAGGGCUUUUGGAGUCGCCGUUGAAAUACCGGUCUUGAAAAGUCGGAAAUCUAACCUCUUCCAGUGAAACCUGGAGAGAGACAGUGUCAGACGGGCAGUUUGACUGGGGCGGUAUCCUCCUAAAAAGUAACGGAGGAGUCCAAAGCUUACCUCAUCGUGGUUGGCAAUCACGAAAAGAGCGUAAAGGUAUAAGGUAGGUUAACUGCGAGACCAGCGAGUCGAGCAGAUACGAAAGUAGGGCUUAGUGAUCCGGCGGUAGAAAGUGGAAUCGCCGUCGCUUAACGGAUAAAAGGUACUCCGGGGAUAACAGGCUUAUCGCCACCAAGAGUUCAUAUCGACGUGGCGGUUUGGCACCUCGAUGUCGACUCAUCGCAUCCUGGGGCUGGAGAAGGUCCCAAGGGUUUGGCUGUUCGCCAAUUAAAGCGGUACGCGAGUUGGGUUCAAAACGUCGUGAGACAGUUUGGUCCCUAUCUGUUGUGGGCGUAGGAUACUUGAGAAGAGCUGCUUCUAGUACGAGAGGACCGAAGUGGACGAACCAAUGGUGUUCCGGUUGUACCGCCAGGUGCAUAGCCGGGUAGCUAUGUUCGGAAAGGAUAAGCGUUGAAAGCAUCUAAACGCCAAGCCUCCUUCAAGAUAAGGUAUCCCAAUGAGACACCCGGGAGAUGACCGGGUAGAUAGGUGAGAUGUGUAAGUACAGUAAUGUAUUGAGCUAACUCAUACUAAUCAGUUCAACGGCUUGAUCAC